rnacentral:rRNA from 1 species
UUGGUCCUACGGGAGGCAGCAGUGGGGAAUAUUGCACAAUGGGGGAAACCCUGAUGCAGCAACGCCGCGUGAGUGAAGAAGUAUUUCGGUAUGUAAAGCUCUAUCAGCAGGGAAGAAGAUGACGGUACCUGAUUAAGAAGCCCCGGCUAACUACGUGCCAGCAGCCGCGGUAAUACGUAGGGGGUAAGCGUUAUCCGGAUUUACUGGGUGUAAAGGGAGCGUAGACGGCAGUGCAAGUCUGGCGUGAAAGCCUGGGGCCAAAC